AAGACUGGCUUUUCACAUUAUCAACGGACCUAAAGAACAGGCAGAACAACUCGCAGAUUCAAUAGUUAAAGCCAGGAA
rnacentral:miRNA from 1 species